rnacentral:rRNA from 1 species
UACGUAGGGUGCGAGCGUUGUCCGGAAUUACUGGGCGUAAAGAGCUCGUAGGUGGUUUGUCGCGUUGUUCGUGAAAACUCACAGCUUAACUGUGGGCGUGCGGGCGAUACGGGCAGACUGGAGUACUGCAGGGGAGACUGGAAUUCCUGGUGUAGCGGUGGAAUGCGCAGAUAUCAGGAGGAACACCUGAGGCGAAGGCGGGUUGCUGGGCCGACACUGACGCUGAGGCGCGAAAGCCAGGGGAGCGAACGGG